UGCAGUCGAACGGUAAGGCCCUUUCGGGGGUACACGAGUGGCGAACGGGUGAGUAACACGUGGGUGAUCUGCCCUGCACUUUGGGAUAAGCCUGGGAAACUGGGUCUAAUACCGAAUAUUCCUUGCUGGUCGCAUGGCCUGGUGGGGGAAAGCUUUUGCGGUGUGGGAUGGGCCCGCGGCCUAUCAGCUUGUUGGUGGGGUGAUGGCCUACCAAGGCGACGACGGGUAGCCGGCCUGAGAGGGUGUCCGGCCACACUGGGACUGAGAUACGGCCCAGACUCCUACGGGAGGCAGCAGUGGGGAAUAUUGCACAAUGGGCGCAAGCCUGAUGCAGCGACGCCGCGUGAGGGAUGACGGCCUUCGGGUUGUAAACCUCUUUCAGUACAGACGAAGCGCAAGUGACGGUAUGUACAGAAGAAGCACCGGCCAACUACGUGCCAGCAGCCGCGGUAAUACGUAGGGUGCGAGCGUUGUCCGGAAUUACUGGGCGUAAAGAGCUCGUANGUGGUUUGUCGCGUUGUUCGUGAAAACCGGGGGCUUAACCCUCGGCGUGCGGGCGAUACGGGCAGACUUGAGUACUGCANGGGAGACUGGAAUUCCUGGUGUAGCGGUGGAAUGCGCANAUAUCANGAGGAACACCGGUGGCGAANGCGGGUCUCUGGGCAGUAACUGACGCUGA
rnacentral:rRNA from 1 species